UCCCUGCAGCGCCGUGGGGUCAGCCCUGGCCCUGUGUGUCCCAGGAGGGUGAUGCUGGGCUGGGGACUGGAGGUCUGGAGGGGUUUGGGCUCAGCAGAGGUGUGUGGUGGGACAGAGCAGACUUCUCUACGCAGGGACCCCCCAGCACUGCCUGGGUUGGUGGCCUGGCGGUACAGGGAGGAGGCAGAAACCACUGAACCUAGCCUGACCUGGCACAGUUCGUGGUUCCUGGCACUGCAGGGCACGGACUCCAGCCUCUUUCCAACGAGCCAUCAUUCCCAAAGCCAACGGGCUCCAGGCUGCUGAGGCACAGUGUCUUCCAAAAGCAAGUCCCUUUUAACAAGGGGUUUGUUUCUAACUAUGUCAUUAGACAAAGAAGAAUACAAGAAAAUGGAAUCAGAUUCUACUAAAAGGAACCUCUUCUCACAAUGAAGUCAGGAAAGUGGAGGUGAAGGUUAAUAACCAUUCCCUUCUUCGUAACACCCAUCAGGAUUCAGUCCUCUCAAACUAUUCCUAGUCCAGAUGAGGGCUGUUCCCACCGGAGCAGUCUGCAUUGUAUUCCUGGUUCAGGGAAAAUCUGUGGGAUCUAUGGCCUGGGUCACGGAUGGAAUCCAGCGAUCUGCUGCUGGUUAACAGGCUUGAGCACACAUUGACUGGAAGCCAUCAGGAUCAACUCAACACCAGGA